rnacentral:rRNA from 1 species
CAGUAGCCGCGGUAAUACGAAGGGGGCUAGCGUUGUUCGGAAUCACUGGGCGUAAAGCGCACGUAGGCGGAUUUUUAAGUCAGGGGUGAAAUCCCGAGGCUCAACCUCGGAACUGCCUUUGAUACUGGAGAUCUUGAGCUCGGAAGAGGUUGGUGGAACAGCUAGUGUAGAGGUGAAAUUCGUAGAUAUUAGCUAGAACACCAGUGGCGAAGGCGGCCAACUGGUCCGACACUGACGCUGAGGUGCGAAAGCGGGGGGAGCAAACAGGAUUAGAUACCCGUGUAGUCCCUGUCUCUUAUAC